rnacentral:rRNA from 1 species
AGUUGUAAUCUCGAGAAGUGUUUUCCGCGCCGGACUUCAUCAAGUCUGUUGGAAUACAGCGUCAUAGUGGUGAGAGCCCCGUAACUGAUGCAGAUGCCCGGUGCUUUGUGAUACACUUUCGAAGAGUCGAGUUGUUUGGGAAUGCAGCUCAAAUUGGGUGGUAAAUUCCAUCUAAAGCUAAAUAUUGGCGAGAGACCGAUAGCGAACAAGUACCGUGAGGGAAAGAUGAAAAGCACUUUGGAAAGAGAGUUAACAGUACGUGAAAUUGUUGGAAGGGAAACGCUUGAAGUCAGACUUGCUAUUCGGAAUUCAGCCGCAAGGUGUACUUUUCGAUUUGCAGGCCAGCAUCAGUUUUUGGGGGUGGAAAAGGGUGGAGAGAAGGUAGCAACCUCGGUUGUGUUAUAGCUCUUUACUGGAUUCAUCUUUGGGGACUGAGGAUCGCAGUGCGCAAUUCAUUUUGC